GGGUUGGGUCGCAGAGACCAGUGAGAAGCGACUGUUUACUAAAAACACAGGUCCGUGCGAAGUCGUAAGACGAUGUAUACGGACUGACGCCUGCCCGGUGCCGGAAGGUUAAGAGGACCGGUUAGCGCCCUUGGGUGCGAAGCUGAGAAUUUAAGCCCCGGUAAACGGCGGUGGUAACUAUAACCAUCCUAAGGUAGCGAAAUUCCUUGUCGGGUAAGUUCCGACCUGCACGAAUGGCGUAACGACUUCUCAGCUGUCUCAACCACAGACUCGGCGAAAUUGCAGUACGAGUAAAGAUGCUCGUUACGCGCGGCAGGACGAAAAGACCCCGGGACCUUCACUAUAGCUUGGUAUUGGUGUUCGGUACGGUUUGUGUAGGAUAGGUGGGAGACUGUGAAGCGGGUACGCCAGUAUUCGUGGAGUCGUCGUUGAAAUACCACUCUGAUCGUAUUGGACCUCUAACCUCGGACCCUGAUCGGGUUCAGGGACAGUGCCUGGUGGGUAGUUUAACUGGGGCGGUUGCCUCCCAAAAUGUAACGGAGGCGCCCAAAGGUUCCCUCAGCCUGGUUGGCAAUCAGGUGUCGAGUGCAAGUGCACAAGGGAGCUUGACUGUGAGACCGACAGGUCGAGCAGGGACGAAAGUCGGGACUAGUGAUCCGGCACCGGCAAGUGGAAGCGGUGUCGCUCAACGGAUAAAAGGUACCCCGGGGAUAACAGGCUGAUCUUCCCCAAGAGUCCAUAUCGACGGGAUGGUUUGGCACCUCGAUGUCGGCUCGUCGCAUCCUGGGGCUGGAGUAGGUCCCAAGGGUUGGGCUGUUCGCCCAUUAAAGCGGCACGCGAGCUGGGUUUAGAACGUCGUGAGACAGUUCGGUCUCUAUCCGCCGCGCGCGUUAGAAACUUGAGGAAGGCUGUCCCUAGUACGAGAGGACCGGGACGGACGAACCUCUGGUGUGCCAGUUGUUCCGCCAGGAGCACGGCUGGUUGGCCACGUUCGGAAGGGAUAACCGCUGAAAGCAUCUAAGCGGGAAGCCUGUUCCAAGAUGAGGUUUCUCACCCCCUCGAGGGGGUAAGGCCCCCAACAGACCAUUGGGUUGAUAGGCCAGAACUGGAAGUCUGGUAACAGAUGUAGGUGACUGGUACUAAUAGGCCGAGGACUUACCAAC
rnacentral:rRNA from 1 species